rnacentral:rRNA from 1 species
UACAGAGGUCCCGAGCGUUGUUCGGAUUCACUGGGCGUAAAGGGUGCGUAGGUGGUUGUGCAAGUCUGAUGUGAAAUCUCCGGGCUUUAACCCGGAAAUGGCAUUGGAAACUGCAUAGCUAGAGGAUUGGGAGGGGACUGGAAUACUUGGUGGUAGCAGUGAAAAUGCGUAGAUAUCAAGUGGAACACCAGUGGCGAAGGCGAGUCCCUGGACAAUACCUGACACUGAGGCACGAAAGCUAGGGGAGCAAACAGG